UCUUAUGAAUGAGCAAAGAAAGUGGUUUCUUGAGAUGGAAUCUGCUCCUCGUAAAGAUGCUUUGAA
rnacentral:pre_miRNA from 1 species